rnacentral:rRNA from 1 species
GACGAACGCUGGCGGCGUGCUUAACACAUGCAAGUCGUACGGUAAGGCCCUUUCGGGGGUACACGAGUGGCGAACGGGUGAGUAACACGUGAGUAACCUGCCCACAACUUUGGGAUAACGCUAGGAAACUGGUGCUAAUACUGGAUAUGUGCUCCUGCUGCAUGGUGGGGGUUGGAAAGCUCCGGCGGUUGUGGAUGGACUCGCGGCCUAUCAGCUUGUUGGGGGGGUAGUGGCCUACCAAGGCGGCGACGGGUAGCCGGCCUGAGAGGGUGACCGGCCACAUUGGGACUGAGGUGCGGCCCAGGCUCCGACGGGAGGCAGCAGUGGGGAAGAUUGCACAAGGGGCGCAAGCCUGAUGCAGCAAGGCCGCGUGCGGGAUGACGGCCUUCGGGUUGUAAACCGCUUUCAGCAGGGACGAAGCUUUUUGUGACGGUACCUGCAGAAGAAGCACCGGCUAACUACGUG